UAGGGAAUAUUGCACAAUGGAGGAAACUCUGAUGCAGCGACGCCGCGUGAGUGACGAAGGCCUUCGGGUUGUAAAGCUCUGUUCUCAGGGAAAAAGAAAGUGAUGGUACCUGAGAAGAAAGGACCGGCUAACUUCGUGCCAGCAGCCGCGGUAAGACGAGGGGUCCAAGCGUUGUUCGGAAUCAUUGGGCGUAAAGCGGGUGUAGGCGGCCUUGCAAGUCAGGAGUGAAAGCCCCGAGCUUAACUCGGGAAGUGCUUUUGAUACUGCAGGGCUUGAAUGUGGGAGAGGAUAGUGGAAUUCCAGGUGUAGUGGUGAAAUACGUAGAUAUCUGGAGGAACAUCGGUGGCGAAGGCGGCUAUCUGGCCCAACAUUGACGCUCAGACCCGAAAGCGUGGGGAUCAAACAGGAUUAGAUACCCUGGUAGUCCACGCCGUAAACGAUGGAUACUUGGUGUUGGAGGUAUUGACCCCUUCAGUGCCGAAGCUAACGCGUUAAGUAUCCCG
rnacentral:rRNA from 1 species